AAUUUUAUAUUUGUUCUCUAGUAACGAAAGACCACCCAGCUUCGAUUAUGGAAUCGUACACAAUUGCAAAUUAUACGACGAAGAAACUAAUAGUAUUCGAUUGUUAAGUUCCUUGGAUGCGGGUGGCUUAUACGCUUCUUGAAUACUAAUCAUCAAGAAAGGACAUCGCACUCCGAGAAUUGCAUGUUGCCAAGGUUAAAAGUGGUCUACCUUGUAGAACAUUUUUACUGGACUUGUUGGACUUUUUACUGUCCAAUAUCUUUUCACGUAUGAGAUCUUCAUUAAAUGAAAAAUAUGCAACGUCCACGUGACAGUAAGCGUGGUGGUCAUCAUCGUGAGAGGUCAUCGACUUUAAUAAAACAUAGUCAUCCAUGCAAAGAUCUUCUCAUAGUUGAUACCUGAUCAAUAGGAAUAUUCGAAGAAAAAAAAUAUAUAUGAAAUCAUUUACAUUAUAAGAGGUAAGAUUUGAAAAACAUUAGGUGCUUUCGUUUCUCGAAUACCUUGAUAUUUGAUCAAUCAUUUAAAUUUUAUGGUGAUGCGUAUCAAGAUAUAAAUAAAUAUACACGGAAGAUUCAAUAUCUCUUUUUGAAAUUCUUUGCACAUAAUUUUAUUAGGUCAUAAUGUAAAUAAUUCCAUUUUAAGAACGUAAUA